AGUUCGGACUGGAGUCUGCAACCCGACUCCACGAAGUUGGAUUCGCUAGUAAUCGCGCAUCAGCCAUGGCGCGGUGAAUACGUUCCCGGGCCUUGUACACACCGCCCGUCAAGCCAUGGGAGCCGGGGCGCCUGAAGUCCGGGACCGCGAGGACCGGCCUAGGGCGAAACUGGUAACUGGGGCUAAGUCGUAACAAGGUAAC
rnacentral:rRNA from 1 species